GACGGGGGGGCAAGUGUUCUUCGGAAUGACUGGGCGUCAAGGGCACGUAGGCGGUGAAUCGGGUUGAAAGUGAAAGUCGCCAAAAAGUGGCGGAAUGCUCUCGAAACCAAUUCACUUGAGUGGGACAGAGGAGAGUGGAAUUUCGUGUGUAGGGGUGAAAUCCGUAGAUCUACGAAGGAAGGCCAAAAGCGAAGGCAGCUCUCUGGGUCCCUACCGACGCUGGGGUGCGAAAGCAUGGGGAGCGAACAGG
rnacentral:rRNA from 1 species